rnacentral:lncRNA from 1 species
ACAAAGCAAGACCCUUCGACAGCGAAAACACGAUGCAACUCCGGUAAGCCUUUCGUCCUCUCUUAUAUUCCGUGUUUGUGUCAAAUGAAAGAAGAAAAAUUGAAUAAAAAAAUUGCAACAAGUAAUCACCUUAAAAAUAUUUUUUUUUAUUUUAUCUUCAAAAAUCCAUACCCGUUUCUCUUGAAAACAAAGGAAAAAAGAAAGCCCCCUAUUUACAAACGGUUCCUCCAAAAUACCAUCGAUCCCCCCUUUUUCCUUUGGAGUUCGAAAUCGACGAGGGAGGGAGGAGUUUCGGCAAUGUGAUUCGGUAAGUCCCUUUCCCCUCCCUUUUUAUUUUUCGUAUUUAUGUAAAAAAACAAAAAAAAUAAACUUAAAAUUAAAUAAAUAAUACGAAAAUCACCUUAAAACUUUAAAUCUUUUGCUUUUCUAUUCCAAGCCCCCCGUACAAUGAACAUAGGGCUUUUAUAUAGCCCAAACUCCCAAAAAAAAUACGAAGAAUUUCAUUUUUUAGUGUUUUUCUUUGCUGUCCUUUUUUGUCCUUUUUUGGCUUUUAUAUAGAGUGGUGGAGGCAAGUGGGUGUGCUGGUG